rnacentral:rRNA from 1 species
AUUGAACGCUGGCGGCAGGCUUAACACAUGCAAGUCGAGCGGAGAUGAGGUGCUUGCACCUUAUCUUAGCGGCGGACGGGUGAGUAAUGCUUAGGGAUCUGCCUAUUAGUGGGGGACAACAUUCCGAAAGGAAUGCUAAUACCGCAUACGUCCUACGGGAGAAAGCAGGGGAUCUUCGGACCUUGCGCUAAUAGAUGAGCCUAAGUCGGAUUAGCUAGUUGGUGGGGUAAAGGCCUACCAAGGCGACGAUCUGUAGCGGGUCUGAGAGGAUGAUCAGCCACACUGGGACUGAGACACGGCCCAGACUCCUACGGGAGGCAGCAGUGGGGAAUAUUGGACAAUGGGGGGAACCCUGAUCCAGCCAUGCCGCGUGUGUGAAGAAGGCCUUAUGGUUGUAAAGCACUUUAAGCGAGGAGGAGGCUACUGAGACUAAUACUCUUGGAUAGUGGACGUUACUCGCAGAAUAAGCACCGGCUAACUCUGUGCCAGCCGCCGCAGUAAAAC